UACGAAGGGGGCUAGCGUUGCUCGGAUUGACUGGGCGUAAAGGGCGCGUAGGCGGUUUGCAUAGUCAGACGUGAAAUUCCUGGGCUUAACCUGGGGGCUGCGUUUGAUACGUGCAGGCUUGAGUUCGGAAGAGGGUCGUGGAAUUCCCAGUGUAGAGGUGAAAUUCGUAGAUAUUGGGAAGAACACCGGUGGCGAAGGCGGCGACCUGGUCCGAUACUGACGCUGAGGCGCGAAAGCGUGGGGAGCAAACAGG
rnacentral:rRNA from 1 species